ACCUAGAAAACAAAUCCACGAGAUUAAAGAAAUGCACACGGACCAAGCAGCACUGUAUGUUUUCUAAAGAGGGAUUCAGUUUUGAGUAAUUGUAUUGCUGAUGUAUUUUUUUGGCUACAUAACUAUGGGAAAGAGAUAUUGACAGAUAUUCAUAUUUCGAUAAGCUUAGAAGAGGCAAAAUCACCGUGGUUUGGAGAAUCAUUGAGGACUUCAGGAAGGAGGUGGAACUUCACCAAGCCUAGGGACGAAUUGGGAUAGGAGAAGAAGAGAGAAAAGAAUAGUACAAAUAAAGAAGUUGGAAGUACCCAUGGCCUGUCUGUUGGGGGCCAAGGCUCAUGUACUGAGCCCAGAUAACAGUGGAGGUGACCAGGCUGAAGAGCUCAAGAGCAGAUGACAAACGACUUAGAGAAGGAAGUCUGGGAGAGCAAGAGAGAGCUUUUAUUCAGAGAAGUUCAGAAGAACAAGGAGAGCAUGGAUCUCGAGCGAGUGGAUGUGUCUCAGCUACCUCCAGCAUCUGAAGAGCUUCACAAGAAUGAAGUUCCUUCCCACCACCCCCUCCUGAAGCACACACACCCCAGGCCUGGAUCAGCUUACGUGGGAAAUACGAAUUUCUUUUUUUUUUUUCUCACAACUAUACAAAGGAGGAGGAAUCUGCAUUUCUAUUUUCUAUUAAUCUGAUUCCCUGUUCCACCAAACAGAAGAAUAAAUCUUGACAUUUAAGAACCUCUAUAAGGGAUACAAAUACAAGAUAUUAGGCUGAGAAGGGGAAGAGGGAAGAGAAAUGUAUAAUAACAUUAAUGAAAUGCCUGCUAUAUAUUUUGUACCAGGUUGGGUCAAAACACUCUCACACUUACAGACAAAAAUGGAAAAAGGCAAUGAACUAGACACAGGCAAUAUCACCCCAUGAUUAUGAAGUAAGUUUACUA